rnacentral:rRNA from 1 species
UCUGGCGGCGAUGGCGAGAAGGUCACACCCGUUCCCAUGCCGAACACGGAAGUUAAGUUUCUCAGCGCCGAUGGUAGUUGGGGGUUUCCCCCUGUGAGAGUAGGACGUUGCCAGGC